rnacentral:rRNA from 1 species
UUGGAGGGCAAGUCUGGUGCCAGCAGCCGCGGUAAUUCCAGCUCCAAUAGCGUAUAUUAAAGUUGUUGCAGUUAAAAAGCUCGUAGUUGAAUUUCGGGAUCAGUACGCCGGUCGUGCCUUCGGUAUGCACUGGUGUCACUGGUUUCUCCCUUCUGAAGAACCAUCAUGCCAUUCAGUUGGUGUGGCGGGGAAUCAGGACUGUUACUUUGAAAAAAUUAGAGUGUUUAAAGCAGGCUCGCGCUUGAAUACAUUAGCAUGGAAUAAUGAAAUAGGACGUUUGACCCUAUUUUGUUGGUUUCUAGGAUCGACGUAAUGAUUAAUAGGGAUAGUUGGGGGCAUUAGUAUUCAAUUGUCAGAGGUGAAAUUCUUGGAUUUAUUGAAGACUAACUACUGCGAAAGCAUUUGCCAAGGAUGUUUUCAUUAAUCAAGAGCGAAAGUUAGGGGAUCGAAGACGAUCAGAUACCGUCGUAGUCUUAACCAUAAACUAUGCCGACUAGGGAUCGGAUGAUGUUAAUUUUUUAAUGACUCAUUCGGCACCUUACGGGAAAC